rnacentral:rRNA from 1 species
CCCUUAGAUGUCCUGGGCCGCACGCGCGCUACACUGAACGGAUCAGCGCGUUUUCCCUUCCCGAGAGGGACGGGUAACCUGCUGAACCCCGUUCGUGGUAGGGAUCGGGGCUUGCAAUUAUUCCCCGUGAACCAGGAAUGCCCAGUAAGUGCAAGUCAUAAGCUUGCGUUGAUUACGUCCCUGCCCUUUGUACACACCGCCCGUCGCUCCUACCGAUUUCGAGUGGUUCGGUGAACCUUUCGGACCGGCAAUGCCUCGUGUUGCGCCGGAAAGUCAAGUAAACCAUAUCACUUAGAGGAAGGAGAAGUCGUANCA